rnacentral:lncRNA from 1 species
GUAACUACUCGCAUCAAAAAUAAGUUCCGUCAAAAAUUUCGUCGGAUGAUUAUUAUCUGCGACGAACGUAUCUCCGAAGGAUGUUCGUCGAACCUAAACUAUCAUCGACAAAUUAUAUAGGACGAAAUUUUUCGUCAAAUAUAUCAGUACCUAUGUCCGACUGACUAAUUCCCUCGAACAUAAGAUAUUUCUGACGAAAAACUAAAAUAAGUUAAUAUUUACUAAAAUUGUUUAUUUAUUAAUUUCGACGGACUUUCGUCGGAGAUAAAAUUGGUACGACGGAUAUAUUCCGUCGAAGUUAUCUUAUGUUCGACUUAAAACUAGGCCAUCUCAGUAUUUAUUAAAAAUUGGUUAUUUAUUAUCUCCGAGGGAAGUGCCGUUGAAAAUACCCUAUUCCGUCGAAAGUAACUGAUUUUUUUUUAAUGCAGAUUUUAAAAGUUCAGUUUCUAGGUGUUUAAACCCAUUAAUGUACCUGUAACCUGUCACAAACUAAUACACAGUAAUAUAAACCUGUAUCUCACAUUUAAAUAUGCAACGUAGCACUAAAACGUAAUCUACAACUCAUUAUCAUUCACAUUCACAUUCAAAUAUCCACCAAAACGUAUUAUAAGCUAACCAAUUACAAAUAUAAGCUAAUGUUCAUAAUUUACAAUAGUUGUACAGACACAAUUAGACAAUACAAUAUAUACAAAAGUUCUACAAACUAUACAAAUAAACUAGUAAAAGUAUCAUCAUCGGGCGGAGGUGAACGACGCUGCUCUGGUGUAUGGAAAUCAGCCUCGUGCUCCUGCUCGUCAUCGCCAGCCUGCUCGCCAUCGCCACCCUGUUGAUAGAAUCAAAAAUAUAAAUCAUUAGUCCGUAUAUAUAUAUAUAUAUGAUAAUUAACAAACUAGCCUUAAUUAAAAAAACAUAAACAAUAAGAAUACCUGAAUAGGUGGGGGCGGACGAAAAGCCUCCUCCAAGAGGGUAAUCACCAUCCGGAGCAUCUCGGCGCUCCAAGCGUCGAACUGCUCCCGUGGUAAU